rnacentral:rRNA from 1 species
AAGUCGAGCGGAUGACGGGAGCUUGCUCCUUGAUUCAGCGGCGGACGGGUGAGUAAUGCCUAGGAAUCUGCCUGGUAGUGGGGGACAACGUUUCGAAAGGAACGCUAAUACCGCAUACGUCCUACGGGAGAAAGCAGGGGACCUUCGGGCCUUGCGCUAUCAGAUGAGCCUAGGUCGGAUUAGCUAGUUGGUGGGGUAAUGGCUCACCAAGGCGACGAUCCGUAACUGGUCUGAGAGGAUGAUCAGUCACACUGGAACUGAGACACGGUCCAGACUCCUACGGGAGGCAGCAGUGGGGAAUAUUGGACAAUGGGCGAAAGCCUGAUCCAGCCAUGCCGCGUGUGUGAAGAAGGUCUUCGGAUUGUAAAGCACUUUAAGUUGGGAGGAAGGGCAGUAAGUUAAUACCUUGCUGUUUUGACGUUACCGACAGAAUAAGCACCGGCUAACUCUGUGCCAGCAGCCGCGGUAAUACAGAGGGUGCAAGCGUUAAUCGGAAUUACUGGGCGUAAAGCGCGCGUAGGUGGUUUGUUAAGUUGGAUGUGAAAGCCCCGGGCUCAACCUGGGAACUGCAUCCAAAACUGGCAAGCUAGAGUACGGUAGAGGGUGGUGGAAUUUCCUGUGUAGCGGUGAAAUGCGUAGAUAUAGGAAGGAACACCAGUGGCGAAGGCGACCACCUGGACUGAUACUGACACUGAGGUG